rnacentral:rRNA from 1 species
UACGGAGGGAGCUAGCGUUGUUCGGAAUUACUGGGCGUAAAGCGCACGUAGGCGGCUAUUCAAGUCAGAGGUGAAAGCCUGGAGCUCAACUCCAGAACUGCCUUUGAAACUAGAUAGCUUGAAUCCAGGAGAGGUGAGUGGAAUUCCGAGUGUAGAGGUGAAAUUCGUAGAUAUUCGGAAGAACACCAGUGGCGAAGGCGGCUCUCUGGGACGGUACUGACGCUGAGACGCGAAAGCGUGGGGAGCGAACAGG